rnacentral:misc_RNA from 1 species
UGGGAGUAAUACCUAGAGAGAGGUGGAAAACACCGUGUAAGAUAUAUCUAUAUUUCUAACUGCAACAAAAAUAAGGUGUACAGCCAUUUUAAAUAAAGCAGUAAUCAUUCAAAGCUAUAGUUAAUAUACUCUUACAAAUGAUCAACAUUGCAAUUAGAAACCAAAAAGCAAACCCCAAAGUUUUCAUAAUAAAUGGCACUGUGCUGCAUAGGUUCUACGCUCUCUUCAAUGAAAUAUAUUAUACAAGUACAACAGACUCCUUCCAAACAUGCCACAUCAACAAAAAUUGUCAUGAAACGAUAUCACAGAAUAAAACACAUCAUCUCAUAAACCUUGGAAGGAAAACCUUGAAGCUGAAGUUAUAAACCAUACAAAUCCACAAAUGCAAUCUGAAAGCCACAAGAUGUAAAACAUUGAGAUGCUAUUCAGUAUCACCUGACCUGUUUUGGAAAUUAAGAUCUGCUGACACCAGUUUACUUUCCAGCUCAAACAUAAAUUAGAAAACAAAGCACCUCACCAAGAUAUGAAACACAGGGACACAGCUAUGCAUGAUUAUAUGCAAAUCCAUUUAGUCAAGAAUACAUGUUAAUCUGCAUUUCUAAUUGAGUGUCCAUGUUGGGAACCAAACACAAGUCAGUGAUUUGGUAAGGAGCAUUUUUUUGUCCAAACAACCAAUGAAUGCAUAUAACACCUGUGAAUUGUCGAAGGUUAUAAAAUUGCUCUAUAUCUUACCAUCAGUAUUCAACAACCAAUGCAUCUUAAAAGCAGCUAACACCAUUUACAUUAAUGUAGUACAUAACUCCAAGCUAAAGACCAUAUCAUAUUCCCAAAGGACCAGACCAAGCAUGAACCCCAGUACAAGUAAAAAACCGUCCAGC